rnacentral:lncRNA from 1 species
UUAACAAACAUUUUAGUUUCAUUAAUCAAAAUGGAACAUUGUAGUACAAUAAUGCCAAAACAAAACAAAUACAAUGUUCCUCAAUCAAAGUUCAAAGUACAUGAUCAACACAAAAUACAUAUGAGAACUAGAUACAUAUCCUAGGCUCUAAUCAGAAUGCUAAUAUCAGCCUAGGGGGUAUCUAAUGGCUGUGAUCUAGUCCUCAUUCUUCUAGCAUAAGUGGCGAGGGGAGGUCGAGCCUGAUGGAACUGAGUCUGGC